AGUGAACGCUGGCGGUAGGCCUAACACAUGCAAGUCGAACGGCAGCACAGUAAGAGCUUGCUCUUACGGGUGGCGAGUGGCGGACGGGUGAGGAGUACAUCGGAAUCUACUUUUUCGUGGGGGAUAACGGAGGGAAACUUACGCUAAUACCGCAUACGACCUACGGGUGAGAUCAGUGGAUCUUCGGACCUUUCGCGAUUGAAUGAGCCGAUGUCGGAUUAGCUAGUUGGCGGGGUAAAGGCCCACCAAGGCGACGAUCCGUAGCUGGUCUGAGAGGAUGAUCAGCCACACUGGAACUGAGACACGGUCCAGACUCCUACGGGAGGCAGCAGUGGGGAAUAUUGGACAAUGGGCGAAAGCCUGAUCCAGCCAUACCGCGUGGGUGAAGAAGGCCUUCGGGUUGUAAAGCCCUUUUGUUGGGAAAGAAAAGCAGCAGGUUAAUACCCCGCUGUUCUGACGGUACCCAAAGAAUAAGCACCGGCUAACUUCGUG
rnacentral:rRNA from 1 species